rnacentral:misc_RNA from 1 species
AACGCACCUUGCGCUCUUGGGUAUUCCUAAGAGCAUGUCUGUUUGAGUGUCGUGAAUCUCUCAAAACCCCCUUUUGUUUAAUUACGAAAGAGUAUUCGGGCUUUGGAUGAUGACUGCUUGCCGUUGUUAAUGGCUCGGUCGAAAUAUAACAGCUGAAGCUAAUAAUUGUAUUAUUGCAAACUCUGAACUUGGCGUGAUAAUAUUUCGCUAUGUAACGAGCUUGUAUUCGAUUGUUAAGCGGGCUUAUAAAACACAUCUUUUACAUUAGACCUCAAAUCAGGCAGGACUACCCGCUGAACUUAA